GAUCAUGGCUCAGGACGAACGCUGGCGGCGUGCCUAACACAUGCAAGUCGAACGGAGAUGUUGAUUUCGGUUGACGUCUUAGUGGCGAACGGGUGAGUAACGCGUGAACAAUCUGACCUUAAGAGGGGGAUAACAACGAGAAAUCGUUGCUAAUACCGCAUAAGACCACAAUGCCGCAUGGCGAAGGGGUCAAAGGAGCAAUCCGCUUAAGGAGGGGUUCGCGUCCCAUUAGGUAGUAGGUGAGGUAACGGCCCACCUAGCCGACGAUGGGUAGCCGAGCUGAGAGGCUGAUCGGCCACACUGGAACUGAGACACGGUCCAGACUCCUACGGGAGGCAGCAGUGGGGAAUAUUGGGCAAUGGGCGCAAGCCUGACCCAGCAACGCCGCGUGAGGGAAGAAGGUUUUCGGAUUGUAAACCUCUGUCGCAGAUGACGAAACAAAUGACGGUAAUCUGUGAGGAAGCCCCGGCUAACUACGUG
rnacentral:rRNA from 1 species